rnacentral:sRNA from 1 species
UAUUCUGCCCCACGGGGAAGGAUGAGAAGCUUCGACUAAGGUUCGACUCGAGCGAAGCGAGAGAACGUUGCCACAGGCAACGGCCCGAAGGGCGAGGCGCUUUAGCGCCGAGUAAUCCUUCCCCCACCAUCA